GCGCCAGUAGCUCAGCUGGUAGAGCAGCUGACUCUUAAUCAGCGGGUCGUGGGUUCAAAUCCUACCUGGCGCA
rnacentral:tRNA from 1 species